rnacentral:lncRNA from 1 species
GCAACCUAGCAAAGGCUUAACAGAUUGGUGGUGACUAUUAUCAGGCAAAGGCUUAACAAAUUGUUGGUGACUACUGCAGUUUUGGUUAGCAAGGUAAUACUUCCUAUGUUCUAGGCAUGGUCCCCAAAUAUUAACUCAUUUAAUCCUCAUGAACAAUUUUGUGAGGUCAGAACUUUUAUUUUUCUCAUCUUAUAGAUAGAAACUAUGGUAUUGAGAGGAUAAUAAAAUUGCCUAAAGUCACACAAUAAAUAGUGGAGUCAGGAUUUUUUCCCCUUUUUUGGCUGUGCCCAUGGCAUGCAAAAAUUUCUAGACAGCAGAUGGAACCUGCGCUAGAGCAGCCACCUGCACCACAGCAGCCACCUGCACCACUGUAGUGACAGUGCUGGAUCCUUAACCCGCUGAGCUACAAGACAAUUCCAGGAGUCAGGGUUUUGAAGCUCGGCAGUCUGAACCAGAGGUCCCCUGGGUUGCCCACUGCAUCCAGAUGGACUCUGGCCUGGGUGGGUCAGGACGUGCAAGGGAAGGACACCAUGGGUGACUCAGCCAAGCAGGGCUGGAGAAGCCUCUUGGUGAUGCCUCUUUUCUGGGAGGUCCUGCUGGCCCCAUUCACGAGGUCCCAGUGACCCUUACUCAGAGAUGCGUCUUUUUUUUUUUUUUUUUACUUCAAAAUAAUUUAUUUUAUGGUAUUCUAUUUUUUAAUAAUGAUUUUUAUUUUUUUCCAUGAUAGCUGGUUUACAGCGUUCUGUCGAUUUUCUACUGCACAGCAAGGUGACCCAGUCACGCGUACGUGUACACAUUCUUUUUUCUCACAUCAUCAGGCUCCAUCACAACUGACUAGGUAGAGCACUGGCAACUAUAUCGAGAUGCUCUUGAGUUUGGGGGGUCUUCUCUCCAGUCAUGGAGGCUGUUGAUCCAGGCUAAGCUGGUCGCGUUGAGGCCAGACGUCCCUGUGAGGGGAGCCAGCCCCGGGGACCACGGUCUGACAUUUUUCCAACCUCCUCAUGGUUGGUGCGUGGAUUUUUUUUUCCCCCCUUGGAUGUCUGCUGCAGAUUAGAUCCUCAAAACAGGCUCACGGUAGCCUUCUUCUGGGUGUUUUGGAGUCAAUGUUUCUGUCCUUGCUCGCUCCCGCUUGGUGAGAUCUCCGUUUUUGUGGAAGAUUACAAAAAUAGAGCAUUUUAGCUGGGAAGCAAUUCAGGAUGCGAAAAUAGGACUCUCACCACGGGGCCUCAGCCCAACAACCCAGCACGGCCUGGCAGGGUCAAGAGUCAAACGUGAUGUCCUCAAUGGCUUUCCAAAGACCAGCUGUGCCCUCCUCUGGGCACCCUCACCUCAACUGACUGCCUCCCCCCACCUCCGCCCCCACACUGGGGACACUCUACAUCAAGUUGCUUCCAGGAGGAAGUAUUUUUCCACAUUGUAUGGCAGAGAUAAUGA